rnacentral:misc_RNA from 1 species
UUUUUGCUGGCCUUUUUCUUCAUUAAGGUAAUCGACAUCAGUCUGCUUAAAUGCUUCAACUAUAGCUGACUUUGUAUCUUUGAUAAAAUCAGGAUGACUACUCAAAUUCUUAAAGAGGUUGUUCUUUAAGUAUUCUGCUGUUCUUGAACCACCAUGACCAUCAAAAACACCAAAAAAUGCCACCAUUUGACCAUCAACUUCUGAUAUGCUUGUCUCAUAGUAGUCCUCCAUGGAGGCCCGUUUCCCCUUAAAAGUAGCAUAUCCAUAGCUGAAUUUAGCAUUUUUGUUUCCAGUCAGAAAGCUAAUACCGCCGCCGCUAAAGAGCGCACUGGGAUCAAUAGACGGCGGCUGUUUCACCUGCGUCAGAGACGGCGGCUGUUUCACCUGCGUCAGAGACGGCGGCUGUUUAAUCUGCGUCAUGGACGGCGUCACAGCAACCACCGAGAGAGUCUACUGCUCCGACGCCGUCCAUGACGC